rnacentral:rRNA from 1 species
GUGUCAGCAGCCGCGGUAAGACGUAGGAUGCAAGCGUUGUCCGGAUUUAUUGGGCGUAAAGAGUUCGUAGGCGGUUCGUUAAGUUUGGUGUUAAAGACUGUGGCUCAACCACGGGAUCGCACUGAAUACUGGCGGACUGGAGUGUAGUAGAGGCAAGCGGAAUUCCCAGUGUAGCGGUGAAAUGCGUAGAUAUUGGGAAGAACACCGGUGGCGCAAGCGGCUUGCUGGGCUAUAACUGACGCUGAGGAACGAAAGCUAGGGGAGCAAAUGGGAUUAGAUACCCCCGUAGUCC